CGGCGCUGCCGCGGCGGCAACGAACGCCGCGACCGUUAACGGCCGUAACGGCCGCGGGGGCGCGCGGGGGAGGCGGGUCCCCGUUGCGGUUUCAGCCGAGCGACAAGCUCUUGGCCGAAGGGCUAGCCAGCCCGUGAGGUACCUGGCGCUGGUGAGCCGGGGCCUGGGCUCGCGCUCGGCUCGCUGCUGCCUUACUGCCCUCUAAAAAAGGUGCAUCGGUUUGCAAUCUGCGAGACUUUCACCCUGUUUUGGCAUCUCAUAGGAAACCAUCAAGUCCAAGAGUGAUACCCCAGAGUGUGGUGUAUACUGAGAAUAAGAAGAAAAUUAAUAAACCAUAAUAUGAUUUUCAGGCAACUAAGUUACAUGUUAUCAACAAAAUGCCAGCAGAACUAUGAAGAACUGGAAGAAGGCUUUGCCAGAAAACUCUUCCUACUGUAGGGAAAUGAAGUUCUAUUCUCAGUGAAUGUACGAUACACUCUUGUUUACUUUUCACUUGACGUAGUCAAUGAACACAGAAAAAAUGCUUGGGAAAGGAAAAAGAAAAAAAUGCUUCAAACAGCCAUUUGAAAAUGGGCAAAAAUAUGUUUUUAAACAUUCUUAUUUUAUCUGAAGAAUACCUCAAAAGAUUCUACAUUUGCAUUCCAUUUACUCCUUUUAGCUAGAUUAUUGCCAUACUUCUUUCCCCUUACUAUCGUGGUUGAAACCUUGUAAUAGCAACUCACAGAUAUCCCACAGGUGAGAGGUGCCAUUUCUCAACAUCCCUACUGCCAUCUGACAUAAUUUGCAAUACCCAAGAAUGUGCUAGGUCUGGUAUGGAAAGAAGAUAAGGAAAACAAAUACAACCUUCCUUGUCCCAAACAACAUAUAGUAAUAACAUCUGCCCUUUCUAGAUCAGUCUCCUUAUUUUUCACACAUAAUACAUCUGAUUUGGUCACAGGUGCGCUGACUCUAUCAUUUUGCAUGUUAGAGAUGUUAGUUAGUGUUUGUGAUCAUGCUUAGUUUUGGCUGAAAUCUGGGGAUUCCAGAAGGAGGGGAAAAUGCUUUAGUGCUGGUAGCUGGUGAGCUCUGUCACUCUUCCCACAGAGCUCCUUGAAGGACAGACAAGGUUUGCUACUUUGACAGGGGGAGAUUUUUGAAGCAUCUCAUCAUCAUAAACCUUGCCUACACCUGCUGAAAAUGCAGCAAUUGGAAAAAGAAUAUGGUGAAAUCAUUUGGUCUUUGCUGAGGGACACUUGUUCCCUCAAACGGGAGUCAAGUAAGGCUAGAGUGAGCAAGCCUGGAUUAGUCAAGCAGAACAUGAAGGUAUAGGAAUAUGAGCUCACAAACUGAACACAGGGAAGAAGAGAAGAUAUUAUAUCAUACUCUGUACAAUGAGUGCCAACUAUGUGUGCAGUAAGAGGCUGGAGACAGUUACGAUCUGCUGCUGACUCUCCCAACCUCUUCUAACAGAGUGAGAUGGGAAGCUAGGGAGUGAGCCUCCUGUUGGCUGCUGAUAUAAUUUUUUACAUGAAUUUAGAAUAUGUGACAAAC